UGGGUCACCGACCAUAAGCAAAAAGAGGACAUCAUCCAUAACCACUUUGCCGAGGUCAUGGGCAGAGCAAGCACGAGCUGCGUUGACCUUAAUUGGGAUGAGCUUAAUAUCCAGUCGCAUGACUUGGAUGAUCUCGGUGAUCCCAUCACUGAGGAUGAGGUUUUGGCGGCCAUAAAAGCAAUGCCGGGGGACAAGGCUCCCGGGCCGGAUGGCUUCACGGGCAUCUUCUUCAAACGUUGUUGGGAAAUUAUUAAGCAUGAUCUCAUGCGGGUCAUCCAGAGCUUUGACUCGCUCCACACAUCCCACUUGCAAUGGCUCAACUCGACCAAUGUGGUGCUUUUGCCCAAGAAGGAGGGGGCAGAGGGAGUCUCUGACUAUAGGCCUACUAGUCUUGUCCAUGCCAUGGCCAAGAUUAUCGCCAAGAUUCUUUCCCUGCGGCUUGCCCCUCACAUGGACGUUCUCGUCUCCAAUGCCCAAAGUGCUUUCAUAAAGAAGAGGAGUAUCCAUGACAACUUCAUGUAUGUGCGCAAUUUUGCGAGACGGUUGCACAAGCGCAAGACUUCAGCCCUCCUCUUCAAGCUUGACAUUAGAAAAGCUUUCGACUCGGUCAAAUGGGAAUACAUCCUCGACUUAUUACAACGCAAGGGGUUCCCUUGCAAAUUCCGGAAUUGGAUUGCCGCUCUACUCUCAUCUUCCUCUUCGCGCGUUCUCCUCAAUGGGCUUCCGGGCCCCCCGAUCAAGCACGGCCGCGGGUUUCGUCAAGGGGACCCAAUUUCACCUCUACUGUUCGUCCUUGCAAUUGACACCCUUCAACAUAUCCUCGACAUCGCAACUCACAAGGGCAUCAUCCAUAGGAUCCGCGGCCGCGGCGUCAUGAUGAGAACCUCCCUCUAUGCGGACGACGCGGCCAUCUUCAUGGCCCCAAUCAAG
rnacentral:rRNA from 1 species